CAGAAAUCCUUGACUAGUCCACUGGAUUGGUUGCUUGAGUUUGAACUUCCCGGGCUUUUUUCCCUUUUUAGGAGAGGCCCACCCUCCCAGCAGUUGCUCUGGUGAGGCCUAGUCCUCCCUCAAAGCCUCCCCAUCACUCCAACACCUAUCUGCAGCUCAACACAGCCUGAUAAGAAGUUUGCUGAAUUUGUCUGAUAAGCUGCACUGACACAGAAGGAAGAUCAGCUAAAUCCUGUCCAGAACUUUGGCCUACCUAGAAGCUCAGCAGCCUGUAAAACUACACCAAAAGGAUGGCUGUUCCAAGUCUUCAGAGUAUCUCUGCACCAAAGCUUCAGGAAGCCCACAGCGACCAUGCUGCAAAUUCCAUUCAUCAAGUGAGUGACGUCUCAAAACACAGGCUUCAACAGCCCUUUACAGCAUUCACUCUAGAAGAUCUCACCUUUUUGCCAAGGGAUAUGCGGGAAGUAGAGGGGGAUUUGAUCACCUCUUUGUAAACAAAAUCACCAUCUUUGCCCUGUAAAACAAAGGAGGAUCACAACAAAGAUCAUAGUUGGCCAUAGUCCCCUUUUCUGACCAGCUCUCAGAGCUUGUGUAUGUUAACAAGUAAUAAAAAGGAGUUCUGGCUCAAAUGUCACACUUCUCUCAAUAAGA